GAAUAGGUUAUUAAGGGCGUAUGGAGGAUGCCUUGGCACAAAAAGGCGAUGAAGGACGCGGCAUGACUGCGAUAAGCGUCGGGGAGCCGUCUAGCGGGCUUUGAUCCGGCGGUGUCCGAAUGGGGCAACCCAUGGCGAGUAAUGUCGCCAUAUCUUUAUCCGUAAGAGAUAAAGGAGCAAACCCGGGGAAGUAAAACAUUUCAGUACCCGGAGGAAAAGAAAAAAAGAAUCAAUCUAUUAUUCAUGGGUCCGGAUAGUCGGGCUAAUGAAUAAUAUUUUGAUAAUAUUCCCCCAGUAGCGGCGAGCGAAAAGGGAGGAGUCCAAACCCAUCCGAUACUUUCGCAAGAAAGUAACGGGUGGGGGUUGUAAGGAAUAAUCGUUCUUGUAGCAAUACAAGAGGAAAGUCUAUAAACUUCCACCCUUCGGGUGGUCGCCCGCAGGGGCGAAAAAAUUGAUUAGUUGAACGGUUUUGGAAAAGCCGACCAAAGGGGGUAAUAGUCCCGUAAGCGAAAAUCUUUUUAAUACUUUCUGGUUAUUUUCUUGAGUACCGCGGGGAAAGACUGCCCCGCGGGAAGCCGGGAGAACUACACUCCCAAGACUAAAUACUUUUUGUGACCGAUAGUGAACUAGUACCGUGAGGGAAAGGUGAAAAGCAGCCCGGUGAUGGCAGUGAAAUAGACCUGAAACCGUAUGUUUACAAGGAGUCAAAGAGGUUGCAAGACCUCGAUGGCGUGCCUAUUGAAGAAUGAGCCAACGAGUUAAUGCAUG
rnacentral:rRNA from 1 species